UACGAAGGGGGCUAGCGUUGUUCGGAAUUACUGGGCGUAAAGGGCGCGUAGGCGGCGUGUCAAGUCAGGCGUGAAAGCCCCGGGCUCAACCUGGGAACCGCGCUUGAGACUGGCAUGCUCGAGUUCGGGAGAGGAUGGUGGAAUUCCCAGUGUAGAGGUGAAAUUCGUAGAUAUUAGGAAGAACACCGGUGGCGGAAGGCGGCCCACUGGCUCGACACUGACGCUGAAGGUGCGGAAAGCUAGGGUAGCAAACGGG
rnacentral:rRNA from 1 species